AGUGAGGAAUCUUCCACAAUGGGCGAAAGCCUGAUGGAGCAACGCCGCGUGAAGGAUGAAGGUCUUCGGAUUGUAAACUUCUUUUAUGAGUGAAGAAUAUGACGGUAACUCAUGAAUAAGCACCGGCUAACUACGUGCCAGCAGCCGCGGUCAUACGUAGGGUGCAAGCAUUAUCCGGAGUGACUGGGCGUAAAGAGUUGCGUAGGCGGUUAUGUAAGCGAAUAGUGAAACCUGGUGGCUCAACCACACAGACUAUUAUUCGAACUGCAUAACUCGAGAAUGGUAGAGGUAACUGGAAUUUCUUGUGUAGGAGUGAAAUCCGUAGAUAUAAGAAGGAACACCAAUGGCGUAGGCAGGUUACUGGGCCAUUUCUGACGCUAAGGCACGAAAGCGUGGGGAGCGAACCGGAUUAGAUACCCGGGUAGUCCACGCCGUAAACGAUGGAUACUAGCUGUUGGAGGUAUCGA
rnacentral:rRNA from 1 species